UACGUAGGUGACAAGCGUUGUCCGGAUUUACUGGGCGUAAAGAGCGCGCAGGCGGUCGUUCAAGUCGAGUGUGAAAGCCCCCGGCUCAACUGGGGAGGGUCACUCGAUACUGAUCGACUCGAAGGCAGGAGAGGGUAGUGGAAUUCCCGGUGUAGCGGUGAAAUGUGUAGAGAUCGGGAGGAACACCGGUGGCGAAGGCGGGUCUCUGGGCAUCUCCUGACGCUGAGGCACGAAGGUCAGGGGAGCAAACGGG
rnacentral:rRNA from 1 species